GAUGAACGCUGGCGGCGUGCCUAAUACAUGCAAGUCGAGCGAACAGACGAGGAGCUUGCUCCUCUGACGUUAGCGGCGGACGGGUGAGUAACACGUGGAUAACCUACCUAUAAGACUGGGAUAACUUCGGGAAACCGGAGCUAAUACCGGAUAAUAUAUUGAACCGCAUGGUUCAAUAGUGAAAGACGGUUUUGCUGUCACUUAUAGAUGGAUCCGCGCCGCAUUAGCUAGUUGGUAAGGUAACGGCUUACCAAGGCAACGAUGCGUAGCCGACCUGAGAGGGUGAUCGGCCACACUGGAACUGAGACACGGUCCAGACUCCUAAGGGAGGCAGCAGUAGGGAAUCUUCCGCAAUGGGCGAAAGCCUGACGGGGCAACGCCGCGUGAGUGAUGAAGGUCUUCGGAUCGUAAAACUCUGUUAUUAGGGAAGAACAAAUGUGUAAGUAACUAUGCACGUCUUGACGGUACCUAAUCAGAAAGCCACGGCUAACUACGUG
rnacentral:rRNA from 1 species